rnacentral:rRNA from 1 species
UUCGUGUGAACAGUGGUUGAUCACGAGUUAGUCGGUCCUAAGUUCAAGGCGAAAGCCGAAAAUUUUCAAGUAAAAAUAAUAAGUAAAUGCCAAAUAUAAAUUAUAUAUGUCAGAAAAAUAAAACACUUGAAUAAUUUUGAACGAAAGGGAAUACGGUUCCAAUUCCGUAACCUGUUGAGUAUCCGUUUGUUAUUAAAUAUGGGCCUCGUGCUCAUCCUGGCAACAGGAACGACCAUAAAGAAGCCGUCGAGAGAUAUCGGAAGAGUUUUCUUUUCUGUUUUAUAGCCGUACUACCAUGGAAGUCUUUCGCAGAGAGAUAUGGUAGAUGGGCUAGAAGAGCAUGACAUAUACUGUUGUGUCGAUAUUUUCUCCUCGGACCUUGAAAAUUUAUGGUGGGGAUACGCAAACUUCUCAACAGGCCGUACCAAUAUCCGCAGCUGGUCUCCAAGGUGAAGAGUCUCUAGUCGAUAGAAUA